rnacentral:rRNA from 1 species
GGACUACCGGGGUAUCUAAUCCUGUUUGCUCCCCACGCUUUCGUGUCUCAGCGUCAGUUGUCGUCCAGUAAGCCGCCUUCGCCACUGGUGUUCCUCCAAAUAUCUACGCAUUUUACCGCUACACUUGGAAUUCCGCUUACCUCUCCGACACUCAAGCUAUGCAGUUUCAAAGGCAGUCCGGGGGUUGAGCCCCCGCCUUUCACCUCUGACUUGCUUAGCCGCCUACACACCCUUUACACCCAGUAAUUCCCGACAACGCUUGCCACCUACGUAUUACCGCGGCUGCUGGCAC